AGUCGUGCGAGAAAGUUCCCUUCGGGGGAUGAGUAGAGCGGCGCACGGGUGAGUAACGCGUGGAUAAUCUGCCCAUCAGAUCGGGAUAACAGAAGGAAACUCCUGCUAAUACCAAAUACGCUUCAUAUUUAACUUUAUGAGGGAAAGGUGGCCUCUGUUUACAAGCUACCACUGAUGGAUGAGUCCGCGUCUCAUUAGCUUGUUGGUAAGGUAACGGCUUACCAAGGCAACGAUGAGUAACUGGUCUGAGAGGAUGAUCAGUCACACUGGAACUGAAACACGGUCCAGACUCCUACGGGAGGCAGCAGUGGGGAAUAUUGCGCAAUGGGGGAAACCCUGACGCAGCGACGCCGUGUGAGGGAAGAAGGCUCUAGGGUCGUAAACCUCUGUCAGGAGGGAAGAACCGCAUAAGAUUUAAUAAAUCUUUUGCCUGACGGUACCUCCAGAGGAAGCACCGGCUAACUCCGUGCCAGCAGCCGCGGUAAUACGGAGGGUGCAAGCGCUAAUCGGAAUCACUGGGCGUAAAGCGCGCGUAGGCGGCGAUGUAAGUCAGGUGUGAAAGCCCUCGGCUCAACCGGGGAAUUGCACUUGAUACUGCAUUGCUUGAGUAUCGGAGAGGAUGGCGGAAUUCCAGGUGUAGGAGUGAAAUCCGUAGAUAUCUGGAGGAACACCAGUGGCGAAGGCGGCCAUCUGGACGAUUACUGACGCUGAGGUGCGAAAGCAUGGGGAGCAAACAGGAUUAGAUACCCUGGUAGUCCAUGCCGUAAACGAUGGAUACUAGAUGUCGGGGGUUAACCCCUUCGGUGUCGCAGUUAACGCGUUAAGUAUCCCGCCUGGGGAGUAC
rnacentral:rRNA from 1 species